UCAGUUUUAUUCUCACUUCCCUGGCUCGGACAGAAGUCAUCGAAGACCCCAGGGCAGGGACAGGGCCGCCCUGGCUGAGGCGCGCUGAGCAGUCUCGUCUGCAGCACUCCCUCCCGGGGAGGCCUGGUCUCGGGGCCUCGGCGAGCUGGCACAGGGAGGGCUUAUUAAAUUUCCGUUCUGGAGCAACAAAACAUGACUUCACUUCGAAGGCAUUUUCAUGGAGAGCGAGAAAGUGGUCUAAUAGGUUCCUCGUUUCCAAGACUGACACGGACACAGAUCCCCAGCUCUGACGGUUCACAGCGGCUGGCAGCGGUCAGGCUGGCCAGGACACAGGGCCCAGUGAGGCGCUGCCCACACCCAGCCUGGCCGUUUCUACCUGUCUCCUCAAUGAUAAAGGAGAACUCGGUCUGCCCUCUCCACCGCUCGGACGGACGGAGAGACAAAGCGUGGGAGGAAAACAGUCACGCUCCUAAGUGAGCCACUGCCUCACCACAGAGGAAUGGAGCUGACCUUCUAACACAGCAGCAGCAGCAGCAGCAGCAGCAGCAGCCGGGUCUGUGCAGAGUGCAAGGCUGGAGGCAGCCUGAGCCGGGACGGCUGUUUGUAAUGGGCUGACCUGGGGGUGAAUGCCCCGGCCAGGGUGGCAGCCUCGGCCUCUGCCUCUGCGCCUCCUUCCUUACAAACAGGCCGGGCAGACUGGGCAUCUCGUUUCACGGAAUCACUAAAACCACUGUCUCUCUGCGUAUUAGGCAUCGAAGACGGUAGGAAAUAAUGUACUUUUGUUUCAUUGUGUUACCCAUCUCAGAAUUAUUAAAGAAGUCAUUUCUGCUAAAAUCUUCCUUGAAGAUGGUGACCUCUUUGUAUCUGCCAAGUUCGAGUAGCGCCUAUGUGACCACCCUCUUGCAGGCAGGGACUAUGGACAUAGGAAGUGGCUGUGGGAGCAGGAGAGCCACCCAGGCGGCCAGUCUGGGAAGCUGACGCAGAGGCAGGCAAUGGCACAGGGCGGGGCCCACAUUUCGAAGGCCUUUAGCCAGAAGCAGGCCCAAUCUUGCUGGUUUGAAGAACCAGAGCUUGAGUCACCACAGGAGGUGGAAAGUGAGGGGGGAAAUCCCAGUAAGAAGAGAGCCAGGCAGAGGGUUCCUCAAAUUCUGAGUAUAAAUUCUGCCCCAAAUCUCUAGCUGACCUCAGAGUCUCCCACAUAUAAGGCAGGUUCCCAGAAGCCCAGCGAAAGCUAAGAGAACGGAAUAAAAUGUGAUGCUGCCCACACCAUGGAGAGAGAGUCUGCCAUCUGAGACCAGCUGAGUUAACUACCUGCUAAAACCAGCUACCAGCCAACCAACCAGCCAACUAACCAAGGUCUUUCGGAAAGAGUGCAGAGCACCGUUUGGACUUAAAUAUAAAGUAUUUUUCCUUAAAAA